AACAAGGUUUUUUUCAAAUCCAUUGUACAAAUAAUGACAAAUAUUGU
rfam:Pelodiscus sinensis unplaced genomic scaffold scaffold646, whole genome shotgun sequence.